rnacentral:rRNA from 1 species
AUCAACUUUCGAUUGGUAGGAUAGAGGCCUACCAUGGUGGUAACGGGUAACGGGGUGCUAGGGCACGACACCGGAGAGGGAGCCUGAGAAACGGCUACCACAUCCAAGGAUGGCAGCAGGCGCGCAAAUUACCCAAUCCCGACACGGGGAGGUAGUGACAAUAAAUAACAAUACGGGGUUCUUUCGGAUCUCGUAAUUGGAAUGAGUACAAUUUAAAUCUCUUAACGAGGAACAAUUGGAGGGCAAGUCUGGUGCCAGUAGCCGCGGUAAUUCCAGCUCCAAUAGCGUAUAUUAAAGUUGUUGCAGUUAAAAAGCUCGUAGUUGAAUUUCGGAGUCAAUUUGUUGGUCGUGUCUCGGUACGUACUGGUAUUAUUGGUUUCUACCUUCUGAAGAACCUUGAUGUCAUUAAUUUGGUGUCUUGGGGAAUCAGGACUGUUACUUUGAAAAAAUUAGAGUGUUUAAAGCAAGCAUACGCUUGAAUACAUUAGCAUGGAAUAAUGAAAUAGGACGUUCGAUCUUAUUUUGUUGGUUUCUGGGAUUGACGUAAUGAUUAAUAGGGAUAGUUGGGGGCAUUAGUAUUCAAUUGUCAGAGGUGAAAUUCUUGGAUUUAUUGAAGACUAACUACUGCGAAAGCAUUUGCCAAGGAUGUUUUCAUUAAUCAAGAACGAAAGUUAGGGGAUCGAAGACGAUCAGAUACCGUCGUAGUCUUAACCAUAAACUAUGCCGACUAGGGAUCGGAUGAUGUUAAUUUUUUAAUGACUCAUUCGGCGCCUUACGGGAAACCAAAGUGUUUGGGUUC